rnacentral:rRNA from 1 species
CAGUCGCCGCGGUAAAACGAAGGGUGCAAGCGUUAAUCGGAAUUACUGGGCGUAAAGCGUGUGUAGGUGGUUGUUUAAGUCUGUCGUGAAAGCCCUGGGCUCAACCUGGGAAUUGCAGUGGAUACUGGGUCACUAGAGUGUGGUAGAGGAUAGUGGAAUUUCCGGUGUAGCAGUGAAAUGCGUAGAGAUCGGAAGGAACAUCUGUGGCGAAGGCGACUAUCUGGGCCAACACUGACACUGAGGCAUGAAAGCGUGGGGAGCAAACAGGAUUAGAUACCCCCGUAGUCCCUGUCUCUUAUAC